AGCUCAACCACUACUGCACUAAAAUGAAUUCCUCCACUCUGUAACAGGGUAUCCACUUUAUAAUAGUUUGGAUGCCUUAUUUCUCUCUCCCAGACUGACUUUUUCAAAUUAAGCCUUAGGUCUUCAUAAAAAUACAAAGCAAUGGAGAGGGUAUUUUCUAAAGAUGACAAAGCUUGAUUAAAGACAUAAUAGCAAGAAUACUUGUGUCCACACUGUAUGAUUCCGAGCCUGCUCGCAUUGAAGGAUGCAUUUUGGUAGUCACGAAAACCAGACUUGCCUCAACUAACAGUUACUCAAUUCAUGCAGAGUCUUAGAGUUGAGGAAUCAAAGGGAGGCACUGUAAAUUUCGUGCACUUGAUAGCCACAGACAGUCAUGGUUACAGGAUGGCUGGGAAUGGGUAAAAUUUGUAAACAGAGAGAACAGCUAGGACUAUAUGAAUAAAACCUAUGUCUGAGAUGAUACAAAUUUAGAUUCUAAGUUGGUGGUAGGGACAGCCAGUAGGCAUAGGAAGGAGGAUAAAAGACAUUUUAAAGGAAUAACAGACAUUGCUAACUGGUCAGGAAAAAAUAAAAAUUCCAAGUCCAUUUCAGGGAGUCGGUAAGCCCAUCUAUCUUCCCCUUAGAUGAUUUUCACUGAGAGGAGGCUCAUCUCAGAGUUGCUGUCUUCCAAUUUUACUGUCCUAGAACAGAGGCUCAAGUCCAGCUGGGUUCAGAUCGGGAGUCUGGGUGUCUGGGGGCAGCUGCUAGACAAUUACCUCUAUGCCAGAUACUUGCCAAGGAUCCUGAGCAAAGAUUCUGCCUGACUGUAAGAAAAAGCAUGUUCUCAAUAGAGCAAAAGAAACCCAAUGCUGCCAGCUGCAACUGUCUGAAGAUAAAGAGCUCCAGAUACAAGCCUCACAAAGAAUUUUCUUCAAGGGAAGCUUAAAAUACACACCAUCACAUGAGAGUCACAUGACAUCAGCCAAGACUAAGGCCUUUGGAGACUUCUGGAGAAAGCACUCAAUGGAGUGAUACCAGAGGGGCUGUUCCUGUCAGCCAUGAUUUACGGAUUCUGCAAAAUCAUCUCCCUUCCCUUCUUGUCAUGAAUUAGCUGUGCUCAGCUGGCUGAACUUCUUUUUAUUAGUUUAUUUUUGUUUAUAGAAACAAUACAUGAUGGGGCCCCUGGGUGGCUCAGAUGAUUAAGUGUCUGACUUCGGUUCAGGUCAUGAUAUCACCAUUUGUUAGUUUGAGUCCUGCAUCAAGCUCUUUGCUGAUAGCUCAGAGCCUGGAGCCUACUUCCGAUUCUGGGUCUUCCUCGCUCUCUGCCCCUCCCCCACUCACACUCUGUCAAUCUCUCUCUCAAAAAUAAAAUAAAAAAACAUUAAAAAAAUACA
rnacentral:lncRNA from 1 species